GACGAACGCUGGCGGCGUGCUUAACACAUGCAAGUCGAACGAUGAAGCCCAGCUUGCUGGGUGGAUUAGUGGCGAACGGGUGAGUAACACGUGAGUAACCUGCCCUUGACUCUGGGAUAAGCGCUGGAAACGGCGUCUAAUACCGGAUACGACCUGCCCCGGCAUCGGGUGCGGGUGGAAAGUUUUUCGGUCAAGGAUGGACUCGCGGCCUAUCAGCUAGUUGGUGAGGUAAUGGCUCACCAAGGCGACGACGGGUAGCCGGCCUGAGAGGGUGACCGGCCACACUGGGACUGAGACACGGCCCAGACUCCUACGGGAGGCAGCAGUGGGGAAUAUUGCACAAUGGGCGAAAGCCUGAUGCAGCAACGCCGCGUGGGGGAUGACGGCCUUCGGGUUGUAAACCUCUUUUAGUAGGGAAGAAGGGCUUCGGCUUGACGGUACCUGCAGAAAAAGCACCGGCUAACUACGUGCCAGCAGCCGCGGUAAUACGUAGGGUGCAAGCGUUGUCCGGAAUUAUUGGGCGUAAAGAGCUCGUAGGCGGUUUGUCGCGUCUGCUGUGAAAACCCGAGGCUCAACCUCGGGCCUGCAGUGGGUACGGGCAGACUAGAGUGCGGUAGGGGAGAAUGGAAUUCCUGGUGUAGCGGUGGAAUGCGCAGAUAUCAGGAGGAACACCGAUGGCGAAGGCAGUUCUCUGGGCCGUUACUGACGCUGAGGAGCGAAAGCGUGGGGAGCGAACAGGAUUAGAUACCCUGGUAGUCCACGCCGUAGACGUUGGGAACUAGACGUGGGGACCUUUCCACGGUCUCCGUGUCGCAGCUAACGCAUUAAGUUCCCCGCCUGGGGAGUACGGCCGCAAGGCUAAAACUCAAAGGAAUUGACGGGGGCCCGCACAAGCGGCGGAGCAUGCGGAUUAAUUCGAUGCAACGCGAAGAACCUUACCAAGGCUUGACAUAUACCGGAAACUUCCAGAAAUGGUUGCCCCGCAAGGUCGGUAUACAGGUGGUGCAUGGUUGUCGUCAGCUCGUGUCGUGAGAUGUUGGGUUAAGUCCCGCAACGAGCGCAACCCUCGUUCUAUGUUGCCAGCACGUCAUGGUGGGAACUCAUAGGAGACUGCCGGGGUCAACUCGGAGGAAGGUGGGGAUGACGCCAAAUCAUCAUGCCCCUUAUGUCUUGGGCUUCACGCAUGCUACAAUGGCCGGUACAAAGGGCUGCGAUACCGUAAGGUGGAGCGAAUCCCAAAAAGCCGGUCUCAGUUCGGAUUGAGGUCUGCAACUCGACCUCAUGAAGUCGGAGUCGCUAGUAAUCGCAGAUCAGCAACGCUGCGGUGAAUACGUUCCCGGGCCU
rnacentral:rRNA from 1 species